AUUGAACGCUGGCGGCAUGCCUUACACAUGCAAGUCGAACGGUAACAGGUUAAGCUGGCGAGUGGCGAACGGGUGAGUAAUACAUCGGAACGUGCCCAGUAGUGGGGGAUAGCCCGGCGAAAGCCGGAUUAAUACCGCAUACGACCUAAGGGUGAAAGGGGGGGAUCGCAAGACCUCUCGCUAUUGGAGCGGCCGAUGUCAGAUUAGCUAGUUGGUGGGGUAAAAGCUCACCAAGGCGACGAUCUGUAGCUGGUCUGAGAGGACGACCAGCCACACUGGGACUGAGACACGGCCCAGACUCCUACGGGAGGCAGCAGUGGGGAAUUUUGGACAAUGGGCGCAAGCCUGAUCCAGCCAUGCCGCGUGCGGGAAGAAGGCCUUCGGGUUGUAAACCGCUUUUGUCAGGGAAGAAAUCCUUUGGGUUAAUACCUCGGGGGGAUGACGGUACCUGAAGAAUAAGCACCGGCUAACUACGUG
rnacentral:rRNA from 1 species